AUUGAACGCUGGCGGCAUGCCUUACACAUGCAAGUCGAACGGCAGCACGAGUGCUUGCACUUGGUGGCGAGUGGCGAACGGGUGAGUAAUACAUCGGAACGUGUCCUAAAGUGGGGGAUAACGCAUCGAAAGAUGUGCUAAUACCGCAUAAUCUCUAAGGAGAAAAGUAGGGGAUCGAAAGACCUUAUGCUUUUGGAGCGGCCGAUGUCUGAUUAGCUAGUUGGUGGGGUAAUGGCCUACCAAGGCGACGAUCAGUAGCUGGUCUGAGAGGAUGGCCAGCCACACUGGGACUGAGACACGGCCCAGACUCCUACGGGAGGCAGCAGUGGGGAAUUUUGGACAAUGGGGGCAACCCUGAUCCAGCCAUGCCGCGUGAGUGAAGAA
rnacentral:rRNA from 1 species